CUUCAUUGCAAGGACAGGUACAGAGACUUGCGGCCACCUGAAAAAGAAGCAUUUCUACUUCGUCUGUCACCGGUCUGGAAGUUAUGCUUCACAAGCUACAAGUAAACAAAAGCUGAAGCGGCCUUCAAGUGUCAAGUGUGGAAAAAGAUGUUUUGCGGCAAUGGCUGUGACUGAAGACAACACAGGUGUGUAUGUGGUUUUCCAAUUCAAGCACAGAGGCCACGACUUUGAACUGGGUCGUGUUUUUCUGUCCAAGUCGGAAAGAGCUGCUAUUGCUGACAAGCUGCGAGAAGGCGUGUCCAUGGAUGCAGUACUGGAUAAUGUGCGGUCCAACGUGGAUGAGACAUUCCACCGCAUUAACCUGUUAAGCAAGCAGGAUCUCCGCAAAAUAAUGAGGGAUGCCAGAGUCUCGAAGACCGAGCGGCUGCACGAUAAUGACUAUGUGAGCAUGCAACUCUGGGUUGAGAGGAUGCAUAGUGAAAAGGAAAACCCAUUGCUCUUCUUUAAACACCAAGGACAACCCGACAAAAAGUGACAU
rnacentral:lncRNA from 1 species